rnacentral:piRNA from 1 species
UGGGUUGAUCCAUUUCCCAUCAGUAACUAA